GGUUUCCUUCCGCUGGAUGAGGUACAUGUACCUCGUCCAAGCGGAAGGCGUUCCUUCCGAUGGACGAGGUACAUGUACCUCGUCCAGCGGAAGGAAACC
rnacentral:miRNA from 1 species